AAUGAUGAUUUAAAGGGAUGAUUUAUCCAACUCACUUGGCUGGGCAGUGCUUUUGAAGAUGAGGUGAAAGAUGUAGUCUCCAUAGGGGGCCUCUCAUCUCCAGAGACUGCACUUCUCAGUCUGAAGAGUGAGCUCACAAGCAAGAGACAAGAGACAAGCAACACUAGAGCCAUCAGUUCAGUCUAUGUCCUACUGAUGCUAGGGUAAGAGCAUCACAUAUUUAUAAUAAAAGAAUGACAAUUACUUCGAGUUACUACAAUACCAACAAGGAGAUAUAUUCCUAUUGCUCUUGCCAGAAAAUUUAUGACCAGUAAUUGAGAGAAGAAAUGGGAAUCUUCUUUUUCCAGCAAAAUGAUGAACUAGAUAUUCAGAAAUCUCUUGUUAUAAAGCCACUUUAAAAGCUUGGUGAAUUAUAGGAAACACUUUUGGUAUACACAACAAAUGAGUCCACAGGAAGCAGCAAAAUUCUCAAGCCCUAAAAAUGAAGAGGAAGCCAAAAAUCAAGACUGGGCAGCUGAAAUGGAAGCUGUGGCUGAGUGUUUGCCUCUUAGUUACAAAAAAAGUUUGGAUUUUAAAGUCUACCUGUGGCAUAGCAUAGAAGGCCUUGGGCCCAUUCAAGAUGGUAGGUAGAAACAAGGCCCAUCAUGUAAAACAAAAAACCAGAUGGCACAUCCUCUAUGAAAGGAUGGGUUAGAAAAAUUUCCCCACUAGCAAUGGAAAGAACCAAGGGAAUUUGUCUUAUACUUUGGGGUGGGCAAAAGUCUUCACUGAUAAUUCAGAAUCCGACCUACCCUCACUGGCAUGGAUGAAGAAACCCUAUGCUAAGAAAUUAGCUUACAGUUGUCCAAAGCCUGACACAGUCAGACAUAAAUUUUCUGUGAAAGGACACGUGUAAGACUCUCACAGAUAGAGUUCCCCUCACUAAAUGUAAGCUCACCAUCCAAAAUUCUGAAACAUAUAAUGAACCACCAAGAAUGAGAGUCUGCAGAAGAAACUAAGAACAGAAUUAAACUCCACUGAUACAGACGAUAAAAUAAUUGUGUUUAAGAUGUAUAAAAUGAUAAAAGAGGGAAUCAAAAAUAUGAGAGAGACUCGCUUCCGGCCAAGAUGGAGUAGCCCAUCCUUCUCUAGUCCACCCACUACUACUAAAAUUCACUGCAUGUAAUACAGCAUCUAAACGUAGGAAGACACUGGAAAGGAGGAGGGCGAGGGGCUAGGGAGCGGGGGACAUGAGGAACGACAAGGCAGUGUUCUCAGGUUUCUGUUUUGCCUCCCUCAGACCUCCCACACGGGGUGCUGGAGAAGCCCACUGACCAACUGCUAACAGGCACAGACAGAAGCCUCAAGAAAAGCUCAUUCUCUCUAACAAAGGACUGGGAAGAGCAGGUCCACCAGGACACAAAGCCUUUUUGAUAAUACCUGCCCUACUCCAGCUAAACGUCAAAGGGAAAACUGCCCCCCACCGAGUGUCUGUGCUGGGAGUCAUGGUGGAAGGAGCUUGGUCCAAUGCGCUGGUGCCAUAUUAAAACCCUCAAGGAAAAGAAAAGUCAAAUAAAUUAAGGCCCACUCAUACGUGGGAUUCUAUAUGGAAUUAGGUAGAUUUUCAAAGUUGUCCACAAUGUACUAAGUGAAAGAAAAAAACAGGCCAUAGAACAAAAUAAUACGUAUCCAUGAACGUUCACAUUUUUGUUUCUGUGUGUGGGGCGUGGGGUGGUGUCUGUGUGUACACUUAUAGGGGACUGUGCACUUUCAAGCAACACCGAAGCAUAUAAAAUAUGAUUUUUAUAAUGAACAUGUAUUAUUUUUCUAAAUAGCCAAAAUGGUGAAAAUGAUUUCCCUCUUGGGGAAAAAAAUUACCGCAGAAGGAUACAAAGGCAACAAAUGAUAGCAAAUAACCAAACCAUUUUCACCAUUAGGGUAUAUACAAAGAUGAUAAUACUUACGUCACAGAGGUGAAAUUAUGAGUAGUUUUUCUCUCAUUCUCAAAUUUUCUAUAAAAUGGUUAUGUUAAUUUUAUACUUUUUAAAAUUUGGUUUUAGAAUUACAGUUCACAUGCCACCCUGCACCCUGUUAAGAUAAAGUAAUGCCACAGUAGGCCAGGCUGAAAUCAAUUUAUGUCUGAUGAAACCAAACAAACUGAGAAGGUGUGAAUGGGGCAAGGGCAAGGUUGCUCCUAGUAACCACCUGCCCAGUCAGUCCUGUGCCUGCCCUGCUGCACCUACCAAAUCCUGCACCACACACUUUUUUCCUGGUUGUGUCAGAAUCACCCAUCAACCACAUAUGGAGGAUCAUGAACUUGAUAUCACUGCACAGGUUAGUGAAGCUUUGUAUGGAGAGAAGCAAUUUCAAGCAAAGCAGUUUGACCACUGGUAGGCACGGACAUACUAUUGCUAAAAAACAAAAUUCAAAUGAGUAAAUUUAAAGAUCUAAUUGGCUUUGUUCAAUGAUUCAGGAAUCCAGGAGCAUCCCAUCUAGCAAACAGAAAGGAGCUCUGAAGACACGUACAAAAUGGAAAAUGUUUUAUAGGCAGAAGGAGAUGCAACAAGAAAGUUAUGAGCAAAGAGUGGAUUGUUUUGGGUAAGGUCACCUUCUUUGGGGGAACAGCAGAGUCUAUCCAGUGGAUUACCUCACUAGCACUGACCAGGUAAUUCCAGACUGACUGGUUAAGAUUACAUUCCUGGGAGAGAUUGAAACUGCUAUUAGGUUAAGUAUUGAGCCUCGGUUUGAUGAUGUGGGCUUAGAACAAGUGACCUCAUUUGGGGCCUGUUGUCCCUUUUUUAAAAUGAUAAAAGAUUUUAAAAGCCUGAAAGCAUGACUGAAUGCUAUUGCAAUGAAAGAUGCAAUUAUCAGAUCAGAGUGAGUUAAUGCAAACCACCGUUUCCCGAAAGAUUUUCAAAUAGAACGCUGGUCUUGUGAGAUGCUCUUAAGGAAGGGAUUCUGGGGUCAAAUGAAUAUGGAAUGUACUGCUUUCUCAUAGCUUUUCUUGGAGAGUCACAACACACAGUAACAUCUUAAAGGCACUGAGAAGUCCUGCCAGGGCAGAAAUCAGUUGAACUGUAGCUCAGUAUCUCUGAGUUAAAUUAGACCCCACUAGAUCCCAUUUUUUGGAUAAUGACCUGCGGGGAACCAUUCUUGGAGAAAUGUUGAUCUAGAGAGUAAUGAUAGUCAAGCCACGAGGCCAAAAGGUAGGACCUCAGAGAGCACAGCUUCUCCCUAGAGCCCAGGAGACACAUGGAGCUACUGCGGAAAAACCCAGGGUUAUGUCUGCUGACCCCUUCAAUCACGUGUAUACACGUCUAUAGGCAUCUCACACCAGACAGGAGACAGCCCAUAUGGGAAGAAGUCAGUUUACAUGGGUACAUUCUUCCACAUUCCCAGUGCCAGGAUCUCUAGGAUCUUAUGCUUUCUUUACAUAUUAAGAUUUUUUUUUUUUUAAUCCAGAGUGUGGUCAUACCAGGCGGAUGAUUUUUAAAAGGGAUAGUGAAAUGUCUAGUCCUUUUGCAAAUAACAAGGAAAAGAUGAGUUUCAACAUGCUUCACACAUACAGUUUUUAUGCCUUCUUUGUACGAACUAUCAUCAAGCUUAAUAGACAUCUAAAGAUGGCAUUUGCCUUAAUAGCCCUGUUCAGUGUUUUGUCUCCCUCUGGACUCCUAGGCCUGAGUUUGUGAAUACUCAACAAUCGAGGCGGGUCAAAUUAGCCCUAACUGUGCUUGUUAAACAUGUCUUCCAUGGCUAUUACUUUAAGUGGUAAUAUUAAAUAUGCAACAUUCGUUAUUCUUUUCAUUGCUAAUUUACACAUCAAAUGACACAGAGGAGCUGUUAUUUCUUGCUUCCUUCUUGUCCUUUCUGUGAUGCUAUAGAUCAAGGAAGGAGGUCCUCGAAGGAGAAGCACUGAAUAAACCAAGAUCCUGCACACCACCUCACGGCUGAGAAGGGAGAAAAUGACUGGGCCUCUGAGACAGAAUGGAUUUGUCUAGGGAAAGUGAUAAGUUAACAAGCGGUCGAUGGUAGCCUAGUGCCCUGGAAGAUGCUAUAGUCCAGUGAGCCUCAGCCGGGGGUGAUUUUGCCCCCUCCCUGGGGAACAUCUGGCAAUGUCUGCAGACCUAUUUUGGCGGCCACAACUGGGGGUGAUGCUACCAGCAUCCAGUGGGGAGAGACCGAGGAUGCUGCUCAGCAUGGUACAGCGCAUGGGAGGCCCCCCAGCAAAGAACUCUCUGGCCCCAAAUGUCAAGAGCGCUGAAGAUGAGAAAUCCAGAAUUCACUCUUUCAUCUUAGUUAUGCCAGAUGUAUGCUGAAGUAUAUAUAUGUGAGAAAUAACACGAGAAUCUAGGAUACAGUUUAAAACAUUGCGGCAAAACAAGAGAGGAGGCAACAGAUUAAAUCAAUUGGGCAAGAUGCUGGUUAUGGAAACUAGGAAAUGGUGGGUUCACUGUGCUCUUUUCUCUUUAGUGUUUGUCUAGAAUUUUUCAUCACAAAAAGGUUUUUUUUAAACCCAGCGAUGUUCAAGAAUGGGUAGGACUUACCGGUUCCCAGAUAUGCUGAAAGGAUGCAAUCUGCGAUGUCAAGGAAUCCAAGCUCAAAAGCACAUAUGUAUUUCCCAUUUGACGUGACGAGAAGCAAUUCUUUCAGAAAAACCCUUCUAGGCUGCUUUAUUUUUGAUUGCUUACUAGCUUUUUGUUUUUCCCCUCUGAACCAUUUUAUGUGAGGUUUCCCAACAACUGAUCACCUUAGGGAAACUGCGGCAG